rnacentral:rRNA from 1 species
UAGGUAGGGGCCNUGAGAGGGGGAUCCCCCACACUGGUACUGAGACACGGACCAGACUCCUACGGGAGGCAGCAGUGAGGAAUAUUGGACAAUGAAGGGAACUCUGAUCCAGCCAUGCCGCGUGCAGGAAGACUGCCCUAUGGGUUGUAAACUGCUUUUAUACGGGAAGAAACACCGCUACGUGUAGCGGCUUGACGGUACCGUAAGAA